CAAAGAUGGCCUCUGUUUCAAGCAAUUGCUUCAGGAUGAGUCUGCGUCCUAUUAGCUAGUUGGUAAGGUAAGAGCUUACCAAGGCGAUGAUAGGUAGGCGGCCUUAACGGGUGGUCGCCCACACUGGGAUUGAGAUACGGCCCAGACUCCUACGGGAGGCAGCAGUCGAGAAUAGUCUACAAUGGACGAAAGUCUGAUAGUGCGACGCCGCGUGAAUGAUGAAGCAUUUCGGUGUGUAAAAUUCUUUUCUGUAUGAGCAGAGGUAUAUAUUUUAAGAGAUAAUAUACUUUGAUAUUAGUACAGGAAUAAGCCACGGCUAACUCCGUGCCAGCAGCCGCGGUAACACGGGGGUGGCGAGCGUUGUCCGGAAUUACUAGGCGUAAAGGGUAAGUAGGCUGAUACAUAAGUCAGAUGUCAAAGAUAUUGGCUUAACCAGUAAUAUGCGUUUGAUACUGUGUAUCUAGAGUAAGGUGAGGGAAGGCGGAAUUCCUGGUGUAGCGGUGGAAUGCGCAGAUAUCAGGAAGAACACCGGUGGCGUAGGCGGUCUUCUUUACCAUUACUGACGCUCAAUUACGAAGGUGUGGGUAUCAAACAGGAUUAGAUACCCUGGUAGUCCACACAGUAAACGAUAUGCACUAGAUGUUGGGAGAGAUGCAUCUUUCAGUGUCGUAGUUAACGCGUUAAGUGCAUCGCCUGGGGAGUACGAUCGCAAGGUUAAAACUCAAAGGAAUUGACGGGGCCCCGCACAAGCGGUGGAGCAUGUGGUUUAAUUCGAUGCAACGCGAAGAACCUUACCUGGGCUUGACAUCCCACAGAGCUUACAGAGAUGUGAGUUUGCCCUUUCGGGGGAAUGUGGAGACAGGUGCUGCAUGGCUGUCGUCAGCUCGUGUCGUGAGAUGUUGGGUUAAGUCCCGCAACGAGCGCAACCCCUAUCUUUAGUUACUAACGAUUAAAGUUGAGGACUCUAGAGAGACUGCCAGUGUAAUAAACUGGAGGAAGGUGGGGACGACGUCAAGUCAUCAUGGCCCUUAUGUCCAGGGCUACACACGUGCUACAAUGGUCGGUACAGAGGGAAGCUAAGCAGUGAUGUGUCGCUAAUCUCCGAAAUCCGAUCUCAGUUCGGAUUGGAGUCUGCAACUCGACUCCAUGAAGUUGGAAUCGCUAGUAAUCGCGUGUCAGCGUAACGCGGUGAUACGUUCCCGGGGCUUGUACACACCGCCCGUCAAGUCAGCCGAGUUAAUUGCACCCGAAGGAGGUGAGCUAACCGUAAGGGAGCAGCUUUCGAAGGUGUGAUUG
rnacentral:rRNA from 1 species